CCGGGUGUAGCGUAAUUUGGUUGAGCGCGCCUGCUUUGGGAGCAGGAGAUUUGCAGGUUCAAAUCCUGCCGUCCGGA
rnacentral:tRNA from 1 species